UGAGGAAUAUUGGUCAAUGGGGCGAGAGCCUGAACCAGCCAAGUAGCGUGCAGGACGACGGCCCUAUGGGUUGUAAACUGCUUUUAUAAGGGAAUAAAGUGGGUCACGUGUGACUUUUUGCAUGUACCUUAUGAAUAAGGACCGGCUAAUUCCGUGCCAGCAGCCGCGGUAAUACGGAAGGUCCGGGCGUUAUCCGGAUUUAUUGGGUUUAAAGGGUGCGUAGGCUGUAAGUCAAGUCAGCGGUGAAAAGUCGGGGCUAAACCUUGAGGGUGCCGUUGAAACUGACAUACUAGAAUGUGGAUGAUGCCGGCGGAAUGUGUCAAGUAGCGGUGAAAUGCAUAGAUAUGACACAGAAGGCCGAUUGCGAAGGCAGCUGGCAAAGGCACGAUUGACGCUGAGGCACGAAAGUGCGGGGAUCGAACAGGAUUAGAUACCCUGGUAGU
rnacentral:rRNA from 1 species